rnacentral:rRNA from 1 species
AGAGUUUGAUCCUGGCUCAGAACGAACGCUGGCGGCAUGCCUAAUACAUGCAAGUCGAACGAGAAAGCUCCUUCGGGAGUGAUUAGAGUGGCGCACGGGUGAGUAACACGUAGGUGACCUGCCCUUUAGUGGGGAAUAACUCGGGGAAACUCGGGCUAAUACCGCAUGAGCUUAGCAAUUUUGAAAGUAGCUAAGGAAAGAUUGCCUCUAUACUAUGCAGUCGCUGAAGGAUGGGCUUGCGGGACAUUAGCUUGAUGGUGGGGUAACGGCCUACCAUGGCUACGAUGUCUAGCGGAUUUGAGAGAAUGAUCCGCCACACUGGAACUGAGACACGGUCCAGACUCCUACGGGAGGCAGCAGUAGGGAAUAUUGCGCAAUGGACGAAAGUCUGACGCAGCAAUGCCGCGUGAGUGAGGAAGGCCUUAGGGUUGUAAAGCUCUGUUAAUGUGGAAAAAUGGCUUUUAGGUUAAUAGCCUAGGAGUUUGAUGGUACACAUAGAGGAAGCACCGGCUAACUUCGUGCCAGCAGCCGCGGUAAUACGAAGGGUGCAAGCGUUGUUCGGAUUUAUUGGGCGUAAAGCGCGCGCAGGUGGAUAAGCAAGUCAGAUGUGAAAUCUCGGGGCUCAACCUCGAAACUGCGUCUGAAACUGCUCAUCUAGAAUCUUGGAGAGGGAAGGGGAAUUUCACAUGUAGGGGUAAAAUCCGUAGAGAUGUGAAGGAACACCAGAUGCGAAGGCGCCUUCCUGGACAAGUAUUGACACUGAGGCGCGAAAGCGUGGGUAGCGAACAGGAUUAGAUACCCUGGUAGUCCACGCCGUAAACGAUGAACACUAGAUAUUGCUGGGAUUGGCCCUGGCAGUGUCGUAGCUAACGCGUUAAGUGUUCCGCCUGGGGAGUACGGUCGCAAGACUAAAACUCAAAGGAAUUGACGGGGGCCCGCACAAGCGGUGGAUUAUGUGGUUUAAUUCGAAACCACGCGAAAAACCUUACCUGGACUUGAGAUCCUACGAAUCCGAUAGAGAUAUUGGAGUGCUCCUUGGAGAAUGUAGUGACAGGUGCUGCAUGGCUGUCGUCAGCUCGUGUCGUGAGAUGUUGGGUUAAGUCUCGCAACGAGCGCAACCCCUAUCUUUAGUUGCCAGCAUUAAGUUGGGCACUCUAGAGAGACUGCCCGGGUUAACCGGGAGGAAGGUGGGGAUGACGUCAAGUCCUCAUGGCCCUUAUGUCCAGGGCUACACACGUAAUACAAUGGUAGAUACAAAGGGACGCGACCUCGCGAGGGUGAGCUAAUCUCAAAAAGUCUAUCUCAGUCCGGAUUGAAGUCUGCAACUCGACUUCAUGAAGUUGGAAUCGCUAGUAAUCGUGGAUCAGCAUGCCGCGGUGAAUACGUUCCCGGGCCUUGUACACACCGCCCGUCACACCGUGGGAGUUGGUUUUACCUGAAGUCGUGGCCCUAACUGCUUGCAGAGGGGAGCGCCUACGGUCGGACCGAUGACUGGGGUGAAGUCCAAAAAG